AGUGAACGCUGGCGGUAGGCCUAACACAUGCAAGUCGAACGGCAGCACAGUAAGAGCUUGCUCUUACGGGUGGCGAGUGGCGGACGGGUGAGGAAUACAUCGGAAUCUACUUUUUCGUGGGGGAUAACGUAGGGAAACUUACGCUAAUACCGCAUACGACCUACGGGUGAAAGCAGGGGAUCUUCGGACCUUGCGCGAUUGAAUGAGCCGAUGUCGGAUUAGCUAGUUGGCGGGGUAAAGGCCCACCAAGGCGACGAUCCGUAGCUGGUCUGAGAGGAUGAUCAGCCACACUGGAACUGAGACACGGUCCAGACUCCUACGGGAGGCAGCAGUGGGGAAUAUGGGACAAUGGGCGCAAUCCUGAUCCAGCCAUACCGCGUGGGUGAAGAAGGCCUUCGGGUUGUAAAGCCCUUUUGUUGGGAAAGAAAAGCAGCAGGUUAAUACCCCGCUGUUCUGACGGUACCCAAAGAAUAAGCACCGGCUAACUUCGUG
rnacentral:rRNA from 1 species